UUCGAAUCGAUUGUGUUUAUAGCUUUUUUGAGUUUUCUCGUCAUAAUUUAAGAAAAUUCUUUGAAAAAGUGUGUUUUAAUUGUGCACGUAGCAGUAAUGCAACGAUAAAACAAAAAAAUUGAGGGAAAAAAAUAAGAAAACUGUGUUUAGGAAGCAAAAAUGGAUUUUAGCAACAUACAAUACUUCAAAGUGGAGCCAAAGGUAGAAAGUGAAAUACAAAUAUACGAUGUAAACCAAGUUGCAGAAGGCGGCAACAUUUCAUUUAAUUAUCAGCCGAUUAACCAUGAAGCACCUAAGCCAGCGCAAAAAGCUACUAGUUCGAGUAAAUCUUCUCCAAACCGAUCCAAAUCUAUGUCCGGAUUCAUUUUGUACCAGGCAAAGACAAGAAAUGAAUUUAAAACUAAAUAUCCUGAAGCCAACUUUGGCCAAUUAUCUAAAUUACUAAGCGAAGCCUGGAAAACUAUGUCUGAUGCUGAAAAAGCAAUGUGGCGUGAGGAAGCUAUUAAAGCAAAUCAAAUUCAAAGGGAACAAAAUGUUCAAGCGAACAAACGUUUUGGAAAAGUUGCAAGAAAACCAUUAUCAUCUGGUUUUCUUGUAUUCGCAAAGGCACAUCGCAAAAAGAUGCACGACAGCAAUCCGGGUAUCUCAUUUGGCGAAGCCUCUAAGAUUCUAGGUCAAAUGUGGCGAAAUAUGGAAGCAUCAGAGAAACAAAAGUGGACGGAUGAAGCAAAUGCUGCACAUGAAGCACAAGAAAGUACAUUUGGAUAUGAGCAAGCUCCAGCAACACACUCAAAAGGUGCUGUGAAGAGUAAACGAGCUGGAUAUGUUACAGGAUUUAUUUUGUUUCAAGCGGAAAAUAGGAAACUUUUCCAUGACUCCAAUCCAAAUUGCAGCUUUGGAGAAAUGUCCCAUAAACUCAGUGAUGCUUGGAAAAAUUUGAAAGACGACGAAAAGGCCAGUUGGAAAGUCAAAGCAUUGGAGGCAAAUAAAAAAGCGAAAGAAAGAAAUCAAGCAGAAGCACGUAGCUCAGCUGCGCCUCGUGUAAACACAACAAAAACCGUACAGCGAGCAACUGUAGUGGAUAAUAGCUCCGUUGUUGUAGGGACAGGAACUGUUUUCGAUUGUCAGUGGAAUGCUUGCAACUUGCAAUUUCGAAAUAAACAAGAUUUCCUUCAACACACUGUUGAAUAUUGUGUAUAUCAAGGACCACGGCCUACUUACAAGGUCAAUAGAGUAGAUCGUUACAGUUGUUUGUGGCGUGGAUGCAAAAACUCAAUGGGUUUUGGGAAAUUCGAGGAAGUUGUAGCUCAUGUCCGCUUAAACCACGUCAUACAAAAUCAGGGACGUGGUAAUAAUACACAAAGUCCAGUAGCUUCUAUCCAAGUUGGAGCCAUAAAUUCUAACACUCCAGUCCAAUUGACUUUCAGCGGGAAUCAAGUACCAAGCACAUCUCAAGUACAACUUAAUCAACAACAGGUGUCAUUCAAUAAUCAACAAUGGACAUAUACAGCCCAACCGACGUAUACCAUAGUUCAGCCAUCGACGUCAUCAUCACUUGAAAAUACUUCGUACACAGUGCUGCAACCAUCGUAUCAACCAGCGCAAUAUACAGUCGUACAACCUGCAACUCAAUUUGUAGUUCAGCCACUUGUACAAUCAAAUCAUUCUACUAUUCAAGCACAACCGGCUCAUCAAAGUGGUACAAUUCAACAAACGCAAGCUGGUUCAAAAAACAUAAAUGAGAAGUCCGGUAAACGUAAAGGGAACCAUCAUGGAAAUGUUACUGGUUUUAUUUUAUUCCAAGCCGCCAAACGUAAAGAACUGUCUGAAAAAGCAUUUGAAGGUGACAGCGGUCCUAAGAAUUUCGGUAAAAUUUCAAAAAUGAUGGGAGAAAUGUGGGAGAAACUAACAGACCAGGAUCGUGCCAUGUGGAAAGCCAAGGCACAAGAAGCAAAUCGGGUGAAGAAGCAACAACGGGCACAGGAUGAAAGCAAUGCAGCUGCUGCCGCUGCUGGAACUGUUGUUAUAUCAACCACAAAAGCGCCAACAAUUGCAAAACAAGAAGUUUAUGAUUGCAUGUAUGACCAAUGUAACUAUCGCUUCAGUCAGAUGACAGAUCUACUUGAGCACAUUCGUAAUGUAUGUGUCCGUGAUGAUCCUAAAAUUAUAUAUGUUCAUAAUCAGACAAAAUGGUAUAAAUGUAUUUGGCGCGGUUGUCCUGAUCCAACUGUUUAUCAGGAAUUUUCGCGUCUUGUUGACCAUAUUCAGCAGGCCCACGUACUUCGAAGUGGACAGGUGCACGACAAAAAAAUUGUACCCCGACAAAUAAUUAUAAACCAACAACAUUAAGGUUCAUGCAUAUAUUUUCCUUGCUCCAAUCUCUAAAAACAAACAUAAGUUAUUGAAGAAUUAAGCUUUGGAGAUCUAUACAAUUAAAAUAUGACCCACGUUUUCUGCCACAUUUAUUUAGAAACUUAAAGAAUAAAAAAAUUAAUUUUGUAGUUUAAAAACCAAAAUAAGAAUUGAAAUUUUAAGCAGCACAACUAUUAUUAUGAUAUUGUUUUAAUCUGAUAGUCACUCUUUGAAACUUAGUGUUUAAAUCAAAAGAAAAUAGAUACAAAUGCAUAAAUAAUAAUAUAAAGCAAAUAUAAAUUUUUUGAACAUAAUUAUUAACAAUCUAACAAUUAAGCUACAUCAUAAUUGCUUAUAGAGUAUUAUGAAUGUUAAACUAAUGAAAAUAUUACAAGUAUAAGCGAAAUAUUAUAUUAUGAUUAGAGCGGCAAAACGUAUGUGGUCAUGUAACACUGUAAAAAAAAUUGUAGGAGUUAAGCAGCAAAAAAGUGUAUUUUCAAGAAUGUAAAACAUCAAUUGUAUCAAUAAUUGAUAAUAAUUG